rnacentral:rRNA from 1 species
AGUGAACGCUGGCGGCAGGCCUAAUACAUGCAAGUCGAACGGCAGCACAGCAGAGCUUGCUCUGUGGGUGGCGAGUGGCGGACGGGUGAGGAAUACGUGGGAAUCUGCCCAGUCGUGGGGAUAACGUAGGGAAACUUACGCUAAUACCGCAUGCGCCCUUCGGGGAAAGCCGGGGACCUUCGGGCCUGGCGCGAUUGGAUGAGCCCACGUCGGAUUAGCUAGUUGGCGGGUAAAGGCCCACCAAGGCGACGAUCCGUAGCUGGUCUGAGAGGAUGAUCAGCCACACUGGAACUGAGACACGGUCCAGACUCCUACGGGAGGCAGCAGUAGGGAAUAUUGGACAAUGGGCGCAAGCCUGAUCCAGCCAUGCCGCGUGAGUGAAGAAGGCCCUCGGGUUGUAAA